CUUCAAUAUAGAAAUCGAACGCCAACUCUUUCUUACUUUAUAAGUCAUACACACGGCUAUGGCCUGUGGUAUUGUAGUAUAACCCUACCGCUCUUGAUGCCCGACAACAAAACGUGCCGGUCGCCGAUCACUAACAGGAUAUGGUCUUCGAAAGAAGAAACAAGAUAAUCAAUAUACAGGCGAUCAUUUAUUUGGUGAAAGUUACAAUCAUUGCAAACUCAAACUAUGCCGGAGACCUUUCGCCACGCUGGCUUCGUGGAGGUCUCGUUGGGCACGAUGUUAAUCGGCAUGGCAGUGCUCAACAUGAUUUCUUCUAAAGUACGAAUUUCGCAGUCAUUGCGGUCCGACAGGUAUGUGGCGCCAAGUUAGGCGAACAAACACUCGAUCCGCUGGUACCCGACCGUGGCUGCAUUGUUCAUUGUUCCGGUGUGCAUGGUUUGGUUGAUGAAGUAUAAGUAGAUUCCCAUUCUGGUUUAUAGCUAACACAUGCCUGGCGGCCGGGCCAAUAUACAUUUCCUGCUACAUUUCCAAGUCAAAAAAAUAUGCCGCCCUUAGAAUUACGCAAAAGGCUUUCUGAUGAAUCACGAUUGAAGACGAAUAUUGCGUAUUAAUUGCUGUUCCUAUUGGUAUGGGUGAAGAAGAAUGUAAUCAACAUUAUAUAAUGGUUUUAUAACUUAAUUGCAACAAAAACAAGCAGCGGGCAUCAUUAAUAUUACAGCACUUGGAAGCACUCAGGUAUUUAAAUCUGUCAUUAAUUAUUUGAAAAAUAGACAUGAUAGCAAACUAAAUUAUAACAUUCUAUACUUGUUGUUUUUCAGAAUGCUUACAUAGUGUGCAUGUUCCCGCCAUGUGAUUAUAUAAAGAUUGUUAUAGCUGAGGUUUACCCAGUUAUGGAGAAAGACAUUAUAACAUCUAUGGCGCAUCUGACAAUUGUAAUAGCUACAGUGUAAAUAAUCUAUAAUGAGUACAAAUUUCAUAUUUCUUCUAACGCAUUAGGUGCACUAAGUAUAAAUUAUUAUAGUUCAUAAAAUGAAAUCAAAAUAAAAUAAAUAAAUAGUUUUUUAUUUAAAUAUUUUUGUUAUUUGUUUAUUUCUAGCCAAUGAGUAGUAGAAUUUAAAAUUUACAUUAACAUAUAGAAUACAUAUUAUUGAUAUAAUUUUAACAGCCAAAUGUUAUGUUAUUAAGUGGAAUGAAAUUAAUGAGUGUUUAUCGUAAUUAAAGAAUAAUUUUAAAACAGACAUUAUUAUUUAGUAAAAUGUUUUAUGUACUUAUAUAGAAAAUCGAUACAUAAUACACGAGUUGAAAUAUUUUUUUUUAAUACAUUUAUUAUAAUAAUAUUAUAUAUUAUGUAAAUGUUUGUAUAAGUAUAAUAAAAAUAAAUAUAUAUAUUAAAUCAUACACUCAUAUAUUUAUAAUUAAAAUAAUAAAUUGAAAUAUUUAAUCCAAAACACUACUGUACAUAAAAUAUUCUAUUAUUAAAUGUGUUUUGCUCAACUAAUUUUAAAUAGUCAAUAUUUAUAUGCACAUAUAAUAUUUAGUUAGUUGAUAUGACUGUAAUAUAUUUAAUUUAAAUAUAAUAUUAUAACUUAAACUAUGUUUAUGGUUUGGUUGAUGAAGUAUAAGUAGAUUCCCAUUCUGGCUUAUAUCCAACACAUGCCUGGUGGCUGUUACAAAUUGAUGACUAAACAUCCUAGAACAAAAGGUCCAGAACGAAUUUUUGAGUAGAUUAAUAAAAAAUUAAAGCUAAAGCAACUGAAUGUGCAAACUCACAGAAUACAGAAUUGUAUAUUUUUAAUGUGUAUGUUCUUUUGAGAUAAAAUUAACAAAUAUUAUUAAUAAAUUAUAACUUUUAAAUGUUUACUCUUGUUCUAGGUUAUUUAGUCAUCGAUUUUUCAUCAGUCUAAGGUCUAGUCACGUCUAGAACAGUAAAUAAAGGUUCUUCGAGGUUUAUUUAUACUUAAGUUAAAAUAAAUAUUGUAAUGUUAUAUCCACAAUCUGUAAAUUAAAUUAUGAUUAUCAGUUAUCAUAAUUUUUAAACGUUAAUAUAUAUUAAUAUUUAAUACUAUUAAUUACGUU
rnacentral:lncRNA from 1 species